GAUGAACGCUGGCGGCGUGCCUAAUACAUGCAAGUCGAGCGAAUGGAUUAAGAGCUUGCUCUUAUGAAGUUAGCGGCGGACGGGUGAGUAACACGUGGGUAACCUGCCCAUAAGACUAGGAUAACUCCGGGAAACCGGGGCUAAUACCGGAUAACAUUUUGAACCGCAUGGUUCGAAAUUGAAAGGCGGCUUCGGCUGACACUUAUGGAUGGACCCGGGUCGCAUUAGCUAGUUGGUGAGGUAACGGCUCACCAAGGCAACGAUGCGUAGCCGACCGGAGAGGGUGAUCGGCCACACUGGGACUGAGACACGGCCCAGACUCCUACGGGAGGCAGCAGUAGGGAAUCUUCCGCAAUGGACGAAAGUCUGACGGAGCAACGCCGCGUGAGUGAUGAAGGCUUUCGGGUCGUAAAACUCUGUUGUUAGGGAAGAACAAGUGCUAGUUGAAUAAGCUGGCACCUCGACGGUACCUAACCAGAAAGCCACGGCUAACUACGUGCCAGCAGCCGCGGUAA
rnacentral:rRNA from 1 species